rnacentral:rRNA from 1 species
GCGUUGGGAGCUCUCCCAUAUGGUCGACCUGCAGGCGGCCGCGAAUUCACUAGUGAUUCGUAUUACCGCGGCUGCUGGCACAGAGUUAGCCGGUGCUUAUUCUGUCGGUAACGUCAAAACACUAACGUAUUAGGUUAAUGCCCUUCCUCCCAACUUAAAGUGCUUUACAAUCCGAAGACCUUCUUCACACACGCGGCAUGGCUGGAUCAGGCUUUCGCCCAUUGUCCAAUAUUCCCCACUGCUGCCUCCCGUAGGAGUCUGGACCGUGUCUCAGUUCCAGUGUGACUGAUCAUCCUCUCAGACCAGUUACGGAUCGUCGCCUUGGUGAGCCAUUACCCCACCAACUAGCUAAUCCGACCUAGGCUCAUCUGAUAGCGCAAGGCCCGAAGGUCCCCUGCUUUCUCCCGUAGGACGUAUGCGGUAUUAGCGUCCGUUUCCGAGCGUUAUCCCCCACUACCAGGCAGAUUCCUAGGCAUUACUCACCCGUCCGCCGCUCUCAAGAGAAGCAAGCUUCUCUCUACCGCUCGACUUGCAUGUGUUAGGCCUGCCGCCAGCGUUCAAUCUGAGCCAUGAUCAAACUCUAAUCGAAUUCCCGCGGCCG